AUUGAACGCUGGCGGCAGGCCUAACACAUGCAAGUCGAGCGAGCGGCGGACGGGUGAGUAAUGUCUGGGAAACUGCCUGAUGGAGGGGGAUAACUACUGGAAACGGUAGCUAAUACCGCAUACCAUCAGAUGUGCCCAGGUGGGAUUAGCUAGUGGGUGGGGUAACGGCUCACCUAGGCGACGAUCCCUAGCUGGUCUGAGAGGAUGACCAGCAACACUGGAACUGCGACACGUGCCAGACUCCUAGGGAAGGCAGAGGUGGGGAAUAUUGCCCAAUGGGCGCAAGCCUGAUGCGGCCAUGCCGCGUGGGGGAAGAGGGCCUUGGGGUUGUAAAGCACUUUCAGCGGGGAGGCGUUACCCGCAGAAGAAGCACCGGCUAACUCCGUGCCAGCGGCCGCGGUAUAC
rnacentral:rRNA from 1 species